rnacentral:rRNA from 1 species
UAUAUUAAGAGUUUGAUCCUGGCUCAGGAUGAACGCUGGCGGCGUGAUUAAGGCAUGCAAGUCGAACGGUGCUCGCAAGAGUAACCGUGGCAAACGGGUGAGUAACGCCUUGGUACCUACCCCGCACUCGGGUAUAACCCACCGAAAGGUGGGCUAAUCCCCGAUGGCCUCGAAAGAGUAAAGCUUUCGCGGUGCGGGAGGGGCCUAGGUCCUAUCAGCUAGUUGGUAAGGUAACGGCUUACCAAGGCUACGACGGGUAGCGGGUGUGAGAGCACGACCCGCCUCACGGGGACUGAGACACUGCCCCGACUCCUACGGGAGGCUGCAGUCAUGAAUCUUCCACAAUGGGCGAAAGCCUGAUGGAGCGACGCCGCGUGCAGGAUGAAGGCCUUCGGGUUGUAAACUGCUUUUCUCAGGGAAGAACGUUGACGGUACCUGAGGAAUAAGAGGUUACCAACUCUGUGAUCCCUAUUAGGAAGGGAUGGCGCAGAGUAACUUGAGUAAUCAAGUUAAAGAAAACUUGGCUUAUAUGCUGGAACACCUUACUUCGUCCGCUUACUAUUUCCUGAUACAAUUAAGUAUCAGAACGCGGAGUAAGACAAUCAGCAGGGAAGUCUUUUAGUUCAACUAAAAUGACCCCUCAGAGACUGAUCCCUACCAAGGGUGAGAUAGAAGUUCGUUCAAGCUUAUAACUUCUAUCAGACGCCAAGCUCCCAUCACACGAUGGGAUGAUGAUAUAGUCCACACAUACGAGAGCACAUGCUCAUAUGGCCAGCAGUAGCGGUAAUACAGAGACCUCAAGCGUUAUCCGGAAUUACUGGGCGUAAAGCGUCCGCAGGUUGUUGUGCACGUCGUCUGUCAAAUCAUGUGGCCCAACCACAUGCCGGCGGACGAUACGACACAACUAGAGGCUGGGAGAGGCGAGCGGAAUUGCCGGUGUAGUAGUAAAAUGCGUUAAGAUCGGCAAGAACACCACAUGCGAAAGCAGCUCGCUAGAACAGUCCUGACACUCAGGGACGAAAGCGUGGGGAGCGAAACAGAUUAGAUACCUGUGUAGUCCACGCUGUAAACUAUGGAUGCUAGACAUCGGCAGUAUCGACCCUGUCGGUGUCGAAUUACACAAGCUAACGCCUUAAGCAUCCCGCCUGGAGAGUACGGUCGCAAGACUAAAACUCAAAGGAAUAGACGGGGACCCGCACAAGCGGUGGAGCGUGUGGUUUAAUUCGACGCUAAGCGUGGAACCUCACCAAGAUUUGACAUGGAACUGCAAAUCUCCGGAAACGGAGACUCCUUCGAGGGUGUUCCACAGGUGUUGCAUGGCUGUCGUCAGCUCGUGCUGUGAAGUGUGCCCUUAAGUGGGAUAACGAGCGCAACCCUCAUCUCGUGUUUCAAGUGUCACGAGAAACCGCCUGGACAACCAGGAGGAAGGCGGGGAUGACGUCAAGUCAGCAUGACCCUUAUAUCUUGGGCGACACACGCGCUACAAUGGUCAGUACAAUGGGCUGCGAAGCCGCGAGGCGGAGCAAAUCCUUAAAACUGGCCUCAGUUCAGAUUGGAGUCUGCAACUCGACUCCAUGAAGCUGGAAUCGCUAGUAAACGCGCAUCAGCCACGGCGCGUUGAAUACGUUCUCGGGUCUUGUACUCACCGCCCGUCACGCCAAAGAAGCCGGUAACACCCGAAUGUCGUAUUUAUUGCGGCAGAAGGUGGGACCGGUAACUGGGACGAAGUCGUAACAAGGCAUGGGUAGCGGAAGCUGUCCAUGGAUCACCUCCUUU